rnacentral:rRNA from 1 species
UGGUCAUGGGCGGAAGCCUGAACAGCCAUGCCGCGUGCAGGAAGACGGCCCUACGGGUUGUAAACUGCUUUUAUACCGGAAUAACCCUACUUACGUGUAAGUAGCUGAAUGUACGGUAAGAAUAAGGAUCGGCUAACUCCGUGCCAGCAGCCGCGGUAAUACGGAGGAUCCGAGCGUUAUCCGGAUUUAUUGGGUUUAAGGGUGCGUAGGUGGCUUUUUAAGUCAGGGGUGAAAGACGGUAGCUUAACUAUCGCAGUGCCUUCGAUACUGAAGAGCUUGAAUGAACUAGAGGUAGGCGGAAUGUGACAAGUAGCGGUGAAAUGCAUAGAUAUGUCACAGAACACCAAUUGCGAAGGCAGCUUACUAUGGUUUUAUUGACACUGAGGCACGAAAGCGUGGGGAUCAAACAGGAUUAGAUACCCUGGUAGUCCACGCCCUAAACGAUGAACACUCGAUGUUGGCGAUAUACGGUCAGCGUCUAAGCGAAAGCGUUAAGUGUUCCACCUGGGGAGUACGCCCGCAAGGGUGAAGCUCAAAGGAAUUGACGGGGGCCCGCACAAGCGGAGGAGCAUGUGGUUUAAUUCGAUGAUACGCGAGGAGCCUUACCCGGGCUUGGAAGUUAGUGAAUGAUACAGAGACGUAUCAGUUCUUCGGAACACGAAACUAGGUGCUGCAUGGCUGUCGUCAGCUCGUGCCGUGAGGUGUUGGGUUAAGUCCCGCAACGAGCGCAACCCCUAUGUUUAGUUGCCAGCAUGUAAAGAUGGGGACUCUAAACAGACUGCCUACGCAAGUAGAGAGGAAGGAGGGGACGACGUCAAGUCAUCAUGGCCCUUACGUCCGGGGCUACACACGUGCUACAAUGGCCGGUACAGAGGGGCAGCUACCUGGUAACAGGAUGCCAAUCUCAAAAAGCCGGUCACAGUUCGGAUCGGGGUCUGCAACUCGACCCCGGUGAAGUUGG